rnacentral:rRNA from 1 species
CGACCGGCGCACGGGUGAGUAUCGCGUUUGUAACCUACCUUUAACUGGAAGAUAGCCCGAAGAAAUUCGGAUUAAUAUUCCAUAAUACUAUAGUUUGGCAUCAUUUUAUAGUUAAAGCUCCGGCGGUUAAAGAUGGGCAUGCGUAACAUUAGCUAGUUGGUGAGGUAACUGCUCACCAAGGCUACAAUGUUUAGGGGGUCUGAGAGGAUGGUCCCCCACACUGGCACUGAGACACGGACCAGACUCCUACGGGAGGCAGCAGUGAGGAAUAUUGGUCAAUGGGCGAAAGCCUGAACCAGCCAUGCCGCGUGAAGGAUGACGGCCCUAUGGGUUGUAAACUUCUUUUAUACGGGAAGAAACCGUCCUACGUGUAGGGCGUUGACGGUACCGUACGAAUAAGCAUCGGCUAACUCCGUGCCAGCAGCCGCGGUAAUACGGAGGAUGCAAGCGUUAUCCGGAUUUAUUGGGUUUAAAGGGUGCGUAGGCGGAAAUUUAAGUCAGUGAUGAAAUCCUGCGGCUCAACCGUAGAACUGUUAUUGAUACUGAAUUUCUUGAAUACAGUUGAGGUAGGCGGAAUGAGUAAUGUAGCGGUGAAAUGCUUAGAUAUUACUCAGAACACCGAUUGCGAGGGCAGCUUACUAAACUGAUAUUGACGCUGAGGCACGAAAGCGUGGGGAGCGAACAGGAUUAGAUACCCUGGUAGUCCACGCCGUAAACGAUGAUCACUCGUUGUUGGCAAUACACCGUCAGCGACUGAGCGAAAGCAUUAAGUGAUCCACCUGGGGAGUACGAUCGCAAGAUUUGAAACUCAAAGGAAUUGACGGGGGCCCGCACAAGCGGAGGAACAUGUGGUUUAAUUCGAUGAUACGCGAGGAAACCUUACCUGGGCUUAAAUGUAGAGCGACGGACCGGGAAACUGGUCUUUCUUCGGACGAUCUACAAGGUGCUGCAUGGCUGUCGUCAGCUCGUGCCGUGAGGUGUCGGGUUAAGUCCCAUAACGAGCGCAACUCUCAUCAUUAGUUGCCAGCGGGUAAUGCCGGGGACUCUAAUGAAACUGCCGGUGUAAACCGAGAGGAAGGUGGGGAUGACGUCAAGUCAGC